rnacentral:rRNA from 1 species
UCGCUGANACUNAUCAAACUNGGUCNUUAGNGGANNNNAAANUCGUNNCAAGGNUUCCGUAGNUNANCNNNCGGAAGGAUCAUUAUCGAGUUUUNAAAGGNNUGUAGCUGGCNUUCGGCAACAANNNGNAGGCAUGUGCACGCCUGGCUCAUCCACUCUCAAACCCCUGUGCACCUUUNGUAGGCUUCGGCAGAGAGGACUGACUUCGGUCGGUUCAGGAAGCCUUGUGCCUAUGUCACACAUACAAACGCUUCAGUUUAGAAUGUAACGAAUCGUGCGCCUCGGUGCAACGAAGUAAAUACAACUUUCAGCAACGGAUCUCUUGGCUCUCGCAUCGAUGAAGAACGCAGCGAAAUGCGAUAAGUAAUGUGAAUUGCAGAAUUCAGUGAAUCAUCGAAUCUUUGAACGCACCUUGCGCUCCUUGGUAUUCCGAGGAGCAUGCCUGUUUGAGUGUCAUGAAAUUCUCAACCUUUGAAGCUUUUUUUUUGAGCUCGCAAAGGCUUGGACUUGGGGGUCGUGUCGGCUCGUAACAAAGUCGACUCCUCUGAAAUGUAUUAGUGUGAAACCUUCGCAGGAUCGCCUUCGGUGUGAUAAUUGUCUACGCCGUCGGUUGUGAAAGUCGAAACAUACGUGUUCACGCUUCUGAUCGUCCGUCGAGGACAAACUUUUUUCUUGACCAUCUGACCUCAAAUCAGGUAGGACUACCCGCUGAACUUAAGCAUAUCAAUAAGCGGAGGA